UAGAAAAAGAAAGAGAGGUGUCUGGUGGUAUGGGUGAUGGCGGCAGCGGCAACUUCAGAAACAAUUGACGCUCAAAUUGGGCAUCUCACCUUCUAAAGAUUUUGAUUUUCUUGCACAGACCAAACCCUUCUCUCAUUUUCUGAGGAAGACGCGACAAAGAAGAGAAACAAGAAAAAUAAAAGAACAAAAAUGGGACCUUCGAAGCACGGUACGGACAAUAACAGGGGCCUCACUGGGCACGCAUACACCCUCUAUCAGCGUUUCAAUCAUGCUCUCAGCCUCGGUAACAGAUUUUGUGGUGACAAGGCAAAAAAAUGGCAGUGUAUGGAUAUCGAGAUACAAAGACAUGUGGUCCACUCAAUAGCUGCAUUUCUUGAUUAUAUUUCUGGGGAUACACUGCAUCAUCCACGUGUGAAGGCUUCAGUUUAUGACAUCGUCGGUGCAUUAGUUUGGAUUCUUCAAUCUAACAAGGGAGCCAUGUUGAGCAUGGCAGCAGAUGUGACAUUAAAAUUAGUCAGCAUUUUACCCAAAUCAGUACUGCAGCUUUAUGCAUUAGAUCUUGUUAAUCCUUUGUCAUCUUUAUUAUCUUCGCAUCAAACAGAAGUUGCUAUAUCAUGUGCUGCAGCACUGAAUCUUAGUCUUUCAAACCUCAGUACCAAGAGUGGAAAAGAAGUUUGGGAUGUUCUCAAGAAAACAGAAAUUGUUUCUCAAGUUAUCACUAACUUACGAUGCUUUCCUGGAUGUGCAAAGCCAGUAGAAUAUUUCCAACAGAUGGCUUUACUUUUGAGUACCAUACUAUGGUGGUGGUCUCCAUCUAGGUUUUCUGUUUGGAGUGAUGCUGAACUGAUGAAAGGUUUAAAUGAUAUGCUAGAUAAUUAUGGAAAAGCUGCAGUUUUGAAGUUGUAUUCUUCUAUAGCUUUAUGUGGUCAUGGGACCAAGAAAUUAUUAGAAAGUGGAGAGGUGCUUCAACAGAUGGUGCAAUGCAUGAACAACUCACAUCCUCAUUCUGUUCGAAUUGAAGGAUUCAAGCUAGCCCAGUGUUUAGCGAUAAAUGAAAAUACAUGCUUACAAAUGAUGAGAUUAUGUUGCAAGCCUAUUAUCAAAGCCAUAAUUUCUGGAAUGAGCGAGUUGAGCUCAAAUUCUAGAAAGGUCUCCAAUGACCAGAUGUCUUUGCUAGAGGAGGCAUGUCGCUUGGCUCUAAUUACUCGUUGGACAGGGGAGCAUCACAUUCAUUUAUGGAAACAAGGGAUUGACAAAAUCCUCCUUGAUCUUCUCUUUAAUUUUCAGAACCAACAGUACAAACAUUCCAUGUCAUUGGAUGAGCAAAUAGCUACUGCUAAGGAGGGUCUCAAUGCCAAUUAUCUUCUUGUUCUGAGGAGUUACAUCUGGGAUAUUCUUGGAUGGCUUGCAAUACAUUGUGGGGAGGAUUUCCACCCUGAAAGUGAACUCUACAUUAACAUCCUCAUUACAUGUGCAUGCUUGACCUUUGUUGAUGCAAUUCGAAAGUGGCAUAAAAUAUAUGAAAAGGAUAAUGCUGGUGUCUUCAGAAGUGAAUCAGCAACGAGGGCAGUUUUUAUGAUGAUUUAUUCUCCUUGCAAAUACAUUGCAUCAAGGACCAGAACCAUAUUGUCUGAAAUACUAGAGCCAGAUGGAUUGGAGUAUCUGAAAACCUUAGUGCAUUUUCUAAAUAAUCUGUCAGCUUGGACUGAAUUUGGAAUGCCAGAUAGACUCCAAAUUAUAAUUUAUUUAAUGGGGUUCGCAUGCUAUUCAGGUUUGCCACAGUACCAAACCUGGGUGGUCAAACGAAGAGGGGUAAAAACAUUAUUGGCUCUUAUGAGGUGGUGCUUAAGUAAUGAUUUCCAUUUAGAAAGAUCGAGCUUUGCUCCACAUUUGCAUAAUGCAGUUUGUGAGAGGAUAUGCUGUUGGGUUUCCGCAGAAGACUGGGAAGGCAAAGACAUUCUUUUAUUUUUCAGUUUGUGGGGACUGGCUGAGUUGAUACAGCAUUCUCUAUGUAUAGGAAAUAACCAAGACAGAAUUUCUUGUGAGAUGAGACAUAUAGAAGCUCAACUAGUUAGCGAACUUCAGGAUAUCUGUACCAACAGUUGUGCUUCUGGGCUGCAAUGGUAUGCUGCAUUUAUUCUUAGUUACUUUGGAUAUUAUGGCUUUCCAGGAAAACAUGCAAAAAGGAUUGGUAAAGCACUUAAUGAGAAGGAUGAUGCUGAUAUACAACUCAUUCUCGCAAAUGGGGAGUGUUUGAGUGUCCAUGGUGUUGUGCUUGCAAUUCAAUGUCCAUCGUUACUGCCUCCUGAAGUGCUUCUUCCUGGUGAGGUAACAUCUGAUGAUUCUUCAGGGGGAGGCUCUAUGGAGACUUGUAGAGGGUUUCAGAAAGACAUAAGAUUAUCUGCUCAUGUUGAUCACCAAGCGUUGGUGAUGUUGUUGGACUAUAUCUAUUUGGGAUAUCUUCAAGCAGGAGAUGAACAUGCAAAAAAGUUGAGGACUCUAGCCAAACGCUGUAAUCUACAGUCUCUGUUACAGAUGCUGUGUAGAAAACGUCCCAAGUGGGGCACUGCUUUCCCAAGCAUAGAUCUUAAUGUAGCUCUGGGUCCAUCUGGACAUUGUUUCUCGGAUGUCAUACUAGAAGCUAAAGCAACUGAGCUCUUGGGCUGGACAUGUGGUGUUUGCUCUCUACCACGGCCACAUAUGCAUGCUCACAAAGUUGUAUUGUCAUCAAGUUGUGAUUACUUGCGGGCCUUGUUUAAGUCAGGAAUGCAGGAGAGCCAUUUAGAAACCAUAAAGGUCUCUAUUAGUUGGGAAGCAAUGGUUAAACUAGGCAACUGCUUCUAUUCCGGUAAGCUGCCAAAGCCUCCCUCUGGAUGUUUAUGGAACAUUAUGGAUACUGAAGAAAAGUUGCAUGAGCUACAGCCAUACGUAGAGCUUUUUGGGCUUUCUGAGUUCUGGCUCAUGCAAGAUGUUCAAGAAGCAUGCUCAGAUGUAAUCGAAUCAUGUCUUGGUUCUUCCAGAGAGUUGUCUAUUAAAAUACUACACGUUGCUGCCAAUUUAUCUGUGUGGAAGUUGGCCGAAGUUGCAGCAACUUAUGCCGCACCUUUAUAUCGCCAGCUAUGCAAUUCUGGCGAACUUGAAUCGCUUGAUGAGAUGCUGGUUGAAAUGGUUCGUGCAGCAUCUGUUCAACUCUCUCAACAGGGCUAGCAGAGAGGACCAAGUGCCUAAACUUAACAGUCGUCCAUCUAGCAGAUGAGGAACGUUGCUACAAACAGGAGGAGAAGUGUGAUGGUAGAGGAUGGAUAUCUCUAUAGUAGGAGAAGGAACUCCACCAUUCAGCCUAGAUUUUUUUGUGGUGAAUCUCUUAAGUUCUUUUUUUUCCUCUCCUGCAAAAGAAAUAAAUAGGCAUCAUCACUGCUCUUGAAGUGAAAUUAGUGUAUCAAAUCAGAUAUGUGUCCAUCAUUCUCAGCAGUACUAUUGGAACAACCAGGAAGAAAUAAGAUCGUCACAGCAAUUCCAUUAAUGAAGUUGGGUUGUAGAAUGAGGACAAGGUAUGUUACCAACUUACCAAUUACAAUACCCAGUUUAUAUCUUGGCUCAGAAGACCCUGCACAUGUAUACCCAAAAAAAAAAAAAGAACAUGCACAUAUCACAAACCCGAGUACCAUAAAAUUAUCGGGGUUGAUGGUGGAGAAAGAAGAACAGAUGUAGAAUUCAGGUCGUGAAUGAAAAACUGAUACCAAUUAAUCCUAAUGGACUGUACUGGUAAACCUUUGAGAAAAAAGUCUUCACCGUCGUGACAGAAGAUUGAAGGAAGAAAAUAUUGGAAAGAGGAUGAAAUACGACUAAAACCUGCAGCAAACGAAGGGUGAUGCUCCAACCAUUCUCUGCGCUUCCUAUCCCAGUCUUCAACAGGUUUGCCAAUGGAGUAGAUGAGGUCCCGGUCAUCAUAGAAUGUAGGCUCAGCUGGGUUGUAGCCCAAGUAAAGGCCUCCGACAGCUGUAUUCCCGGUGAUGACAGGAGGGCGCAAACCAAAGAUGCUCCUUCUACAAAUCGAAACCCGUCAGCAAUUAAAGAAGGAGCUUUGUGCAGAACUGAGCUCCUAGAUGAUGUUUGAAGUAGAGGGAAGUCCGGUGAACCCAUUUUCAAGAAAGCUCCUUCAGGGCGUCUUCGUGAAAUAAUAGCAGUGCCUUUGUGGUAUGCUGAUAGCUUUGUGUAUGUGUGAGCUUAAACUUUUAAAUACAGAGAGCAGAGAGUGUAAGCUUGAAGGUACUACUUUGGAAGCAUUAAUUCUUGAAUAUACAGAAACCGAACUUUGAAUGAAAAA